rnacentral:rRNA from 1 species
UACGAAGGGGGCGAGCGUUGUUCGGAUUUACUGGGCGUAAAGGGCGCGUAGGCGGCCCKWUUUGUCAGGCGUGAAAGCCCUGGGCUCAACCUGGGAAYUGCGCUUGGGRCGGWWGGGCUWGAGAUCGGGAGAGGAGAGUGGAAUUCCCAGUGUAGAGGUGAAAUUCGUAGAUAUUGGGAAGAACACCGGUGGCGAAGGCGGCUCUCUGGACCGACACUGACGCUGAGGCGCGAAAGCGUGGGGAGCAAACAGGAUUAGAUACCCUGGUAGUCCACGCUGUAAACGAUGUGUGCUAGACGUUGGGGAGCCUAGCUCUUCGGUGUCGCAGCUAACGCGGUAAGCACACCGCCUGGGGAGUACGGCCGCAAGGUUAAAACUCAAAG